rnacentral:rRNA from 1 species
GUCACACUGCCAAGAAAAGCUUCUAGUUAGAAUCAGACCGCCCGUACCGCAAACCGACACAGGUAGUCGGGUCGAGAAGACCAAGGUGAGCGAGAGAACUCUCGUUAAGGAACUCGGCAAAAUGACCCCGUAACUUCGGGAGAAGGGGUGCUGAUCGCAAGAUCAGCCGCAGUGAAUAGGCCCAGGCGACUGUUUAUCAAAAACACAGGUUUCUGCAAAAUCGUAAGAUGAAGUAUAGGGGCUGACGCCUGCCCGGUGCUGGAAGGUUAAGAGGAUGGGUUAGCGCAAGCGAAGCUCAGAAUUGAAGCCCCAGUAAACGGCGGCCGUAACAAUAACGGUCCUAAGGUAGCGAAAUUCCUUGUCGGGUAAGUUCCGACCCGCACGAAAGGCGUAACGAUCUGGGCACUGUCUCAACGAGAGACUCGGUGAAAUUAUAAUACCCGUGAAGAUGCGGGUUACCCGCGACAGGACGGAAAGACCCCAUGGAGCUUUACUGUAGCUUGAUAUUGGGUGUUUGUACAACUUGUACAGGAUAGGUAGGAGCCGUAGAAGUCGGGACGCUAGUUUCGACGGAGGCAUCGGUGGGAUACUACCCUCGUUGUAUGAACACUCUAACCCACGCCGGCAAUCACGGCGGGAGACAGUGUCAGGUGGGCAGUUUGACUGGGGCGGUCGCCUCCUAAAAGGUAACGGAGGCGCCCAAAGGUUCCCUCAGAAUGGUUGGAAAUCAUUCGCAGAGUGUAAAGGCAUAAGGGAGCUUGACUGCGAGACCUACAAGUCGAGCAGGGACGAAAGUCGGGCUUAGUGAUCCGGUGGUUCCGCAUGGAAGGGCCAUCGCUCAACGGAUAAAAGCUACCCUGGGGAUAACAGGCUUAUCUCCCCCAAGAGUCCACAUCGACGGGGAGGUUUGGCACCUCGAUGUCGGCUCAUCGCAUCCUGGGGCUGUAGUCGGUCCCAAGGGUUGGGCUGUUCGCCCAUUAAAGCGGUACGCGAGCUGGGUUCAGAACGUCGUGAGACAGUUCGGUCCCUAUCCGUCGCGGGCGCAGGAAAUUUGAGAGGAUCUGUCCUUAGUACGAGAGGACCGGGAUGGACAUACCGCUGGUGUACCAGUUGUUCUGCCAAGGGCAUCGCUGGGUAGCUAUGUAUGGAUGAGAUAAACGCUGAAAGCAUCUAAGUGCGAAACUCACCUCGAGAUAAGAUUUCCCACUCCUUUAUGGAGUUAAGACCCCUGAGAGAUGAUCAGGUAGAUAGGAUGGAAGUGGAAGUGCGGCGACGCAUGGAGCAGACCAUUACUAAUCGGUCGAGGACUUAACCA